GUGUGAUUCUGGAAUAAUACCAAGCUGUCACCUCAGCCACAAAAAGCUUGAAACAGGUAAACUUGACAUGGGUAAGCUUGGGUGUGAUUCUGGAAUAAUACCAAGCUGUCACCUCAGCCACAAAAAGCUUGAAACAGGUAAACUUGACAUGGGUAAGCUUGGGUGUGAUUCUGGAAUAAUACCAAGCUGUCACCUCAGCCACAAAAAGCUUGAAACAGGUAAACUUGACAUGGGUAAGCUUGGGUGUGAUUCUGUAAUAAUACCAAACUGUCACCUCAGACACAAAAAGCUUGAAACAGGUAAACUUGACAUGGGUAAGCUUGGGUGUGAUUCUGUAAUAAUACCAAGCUGUCACCUCAGCCACAAAAAGCUUGAAACAGGUAAUCUUGGGUGUGAUUCUGGAAUAAUACCAAGCUGUCACCUCAGCCACAAAAAGCUUGAAACAGGUAAACUUGACAUGGGUAAGCUUGGGUGUGAUUCUGGAAUAAUACCAAGCUGUCACCUCAGCCACAAAAAGCUUGAAACAGGUAAACUUGACAUGGGUAAGCUUGGGUGUGAUUCUGGAGUAAUACUGACCCAUCACCUGAAUCUCCCCCAAAAAGCUUGUAAUAGGUAAG